UACGUAGGGGGCGAGCGUUGUCCGGAAUUAUUGGGCGUAAAGCGCACGUAGGUGGCGACGUAAGUCGGGUGUGAAAGCCCCGGGCUCAACCUGGGAAUUGCAUUCGAGACUGCAUUGCUGGAGUACGGAAGAGGAGGGCGGAAUUCCCGGUGUAGCGGUGAAAUGCGUAGAUAUCGGGAGGAACAUCAGUGGCGAAGGCGGCCCUCUGGUCCAGUACUGACACUCAAGUGCGAAAGCGUGGGGAGCAAACAGG
rnacentral:rRNA from 1 species